rnacentral:rRNA from 1 species
UGGGGAAUAUUGCACAAUGGGGGAAACCCUGAUGCAGCGACGCCGCGUGAACGAAGAAGGUAUUCGUAUCGUAAAGUUCUGUCCUAUGGGAAGAUAAUGACAGUACUAUAGAAGAAAGCUCCGGCUAAAUACGUGCCAGCAGCCGCGGUAAUACGUAUGGAGCGAGCGUUGUCCGGAAUUAUUGGGCGUAAAGGGUACGCAGGCGGUUUAAUAAGUCGAAUGUUAAAGAUCGGGGCUCAACCCCGUAAAGCAUUGGAAACUGAUAAACUUGAGUAGUGGAGAGGAAAGUGGAAUUCCUAGUGUAGUGGUGAAAUACGUAGAUAUUAGGAGGAAUACCAGUAGCGAAGGCGACUUUCUGGACACAAACUGACGCUGAGGUACGAAAGCGUGGGGAGCAAACAGG